rnacentral:ncRNA from 1 species
CAAAGGUUUGGUCCCAGCCUUGAAGUCAACUAUUAUUUAAUAUACACAUGCAAGUUUCCGCACCCCUGUGAAAACGCCCUAAAAUCCCCCAAUAGGGAAUAGGAGCCGGUAUCAGGCACUACCCAACCGCCCAAGACACCUAGCCUCGCCACACCCACAAGGGCUUGCAGCAGUGAUUAACAUUGAGUAUAAGCGACAGCUUGACUCAAUUAAAUUGUUUAGAGCUGGCCAAUCUGGUGCCAGCCGCCGCGGUUACACCAGAAGCUCAAAUUGACCUCUGCCGGCGUAAAGCGUGAUUAAAGCCACUAUCUCUUGGAAUCCAACUAAAACUGAGCUGUGACACGCCUGUUACCCAAGAAGACCAAAAACGAAAGUUAUUCCAACCUUUCCCACUUGAACUCACGACAACUGAGAAACAAACUGGGAUUAGAUACCCCACUAUGCUCAGUCGUAAACCUUAAAUUACACCUUCAUCGCCAGGGAACUACGAGCCAAGCUUAAAACCCAAAGGACUUGACGGUACCCCAUAUCCCCCUAGAGGAGCCUGUCCUAUGAUCGAUAACCCCCGUUUAACCUCACCAUUUUUUGCUAAUCAGCCUGUAUACCUCCGUCGUCAGCUUACCACGUGAGCGUCAGUGAGCUCAAUGUUUAUUCAACUAUACGUCAGGUCAAGGUGCAACUCAUAUUAUGGAAAGAGAUGGGCUACAUUUUCUAAUUUAGACUACACGAAAGACUACUAAUGAAAACCAAUCAGAAGGAGGAUUUAGAAGUAAAAGGAAACUAGAGAGUUCCUUUAAAACCGGCACUGGGGUGUGUACACACCGCCCGUCACCCUCUUCUACUCCGUACAAACAAUUUUUAACUCCCCCCUCCCCCCCUACAGAAGAGGUAAGUCGUAACAUGGUAAGCAUACCGGAAGGUGUGCUUGGACUCAG